AUUACGCCGCGUGAGGGAUGAAGGCCUCUGGGCUGUAAACCUCUUUUAUCAAGGAAGAAGAUCUGACGGUACUUGAUGAAUAAGCCACGGCUAAUUCCGUGCCAGCAGCCGCGGUAAUACGGGAGUGGCAAGCGUUAUCCGGAAUUAUUGGGCGUAAAGCGUCCGCAGGCGGUCUUGUAAGUCUGUCGUUAAAGCGUGGAGCUUAACUCCAUUUAAGCGAUGGAAACUGCAAGACUAGAGUGUGGUAGGGGCAGAGGGAAUUCCCGGUGUAGCGGUGAAAUGCGUAGAUAUCGGGAAGAACACCAGUGGCGAAGGCGCUCUGCUGGGCCAUAACUGACGCUCAUGGACGAAAGCCAGGGGAGCGAAAGGGAUUAGAUACCCCUGUAGUCCUGGCCGUAAACGAUGAACACUAGGUGUCGGGGGAAUCGACCCCCUCGGUGUCGUAGCCAACGCGUUAAGUGUUCCGCCUGGGGAGUACGCACGCAAGUGUGAAACUCAAAGGAAUUGACGGGGGCCCGCACAAGCGGUGGAGUAUGUGGUUAAUUCGAUGCAACGCGAAGAACCUUACCAGGGUUUGACAUCCUGCGAAUCCCUUGGACACGAGGGAGUGCCUUCGGGAACGCAGUGACC
rnacentral:rRNA from 1 species